AGAAGGGAGAGGAAGAAAUGGCUGCUUCUCAGGUAAAUCUUACCCUGAUGAGCUCAGGAACGGUGUCUUCCUUUCUUACUG
rnacentral:miRNA from 1 species